rnacentral:rRNA from 1 species
UACGUAGGGCGCAAGCAUUGUCCGGAAUUAUUGGGCGUAAAGAGCUCGUAGGCGGCUUGUCACGUCGGGUGUGAAAGCCCGGGGCUUAACCCCGGGUCUGCAUUCGAUACGGGCAGGCUGGAGUUCGGUAGGGGAGAUCGGAAUUCCUGGUGUAGCGGUGAAAUGCGCAGAUAUCAGGAGGAACACCGGUGGCGAAGGCGGGUCUCUGGGCAACAACUGACGCUGAGGAGCGAAAGCGUGGGGAGCGAACAGG